rnacentral:rRNA from 1 species
GACGAACGCUGGCGGCGUGCUUAACACAUGCAAGUCGAACGGUAAGGCCCCUUCGGGGUACGACGAGUGGCGAACGGGUGAGUAACACGUGAGCAACCUGCCCUUGACUCUGGAAUAACAGUUGGAAACAGCUGCUAAUACUGGAUAUGCACUCAUCUCCUCCUGGGGGUGAGUGGAAAGCUCCGGCGGUCAGGGAUGGGCUCGCGGCCUAUCAGCUUGUUGGUGAGGAAUGGCUCACCAAGGCUUCGACGGGUAGCCGGCCUGAGAGGGCGACCGGCCACACUGGGACUGAGAUACGGCCCAGACUCCUACGGGAGGCAGCAGUGGGGAAUAUUGCACAAUGGGCGCAAGCCUGAUGCAGCAACGCCGCGUGCGGGAUGACGGCCUGG